rnacentral:rRNA from 1 species
GACAGAGGGUGCAAACGUUGUUCGGAAUUACUGGGCGUAAAGCGCGUGUAGGCUGCUCGGAAAGUCGGAUGUGAAAGCCCUGGGCUUAACCCAGGAAGUGCAUUCGAAACUCCCGAGCUUGAGUCUCGGAGAGGAAGGCGGAAUUCUCGGUGUAGAGGUGAAAUUCGUAGAGAUCGGGAGGAACACCGGUGGCGAAGGCGGGUCUCUGGGCAAUUCCUGACGCUGAGGCGCGAAAGCGUGGGGAGCAAACGGG